AUUUCAAUCUUUUGUUUUCUGAAAGAUGUCAGGUUACCCGAAUCAACCUUCCGGUUACGGCUACGGCUACGGCUACGGCGGCGCCGGUGGUUAUGGAGCUCCACCGCCGACGUCUCAGCCUUACAAUUCUUCAGCUUACGGACAUGAACAGCCUCAGACUCAGCAGCCGUACGCUCCGGUGUCCGCGCCAUACGGCGCACCGUCGGCACCGUACGGGUCAGCUCCAGGCGAAAAACCGCCCAAGGAUAAGCCUAAUCAGUCUUACGGCGUUGCCGGUGGUGGUCAUGCUUAUCCACCGCCUUCUGCGUAUGGAAACCCUUUCGCUUCACUCUUGCCAUCGGCUUUUCCGCCUGGUACUGAUCCAAGCAUCGUUGCAUGUUUUCAAGUAGCCGAUCAGGAUGGGAGUGGGUUUAUUGAUGAUAAGGAGUUGCAAGGUGUUCUGUCUUCGUAUAAUCAGAAGUUUAGCAUCAGAACUGUUCAUCUUCUCAUGUACCAUUUCACCAACACUAAUACCAGGAAGAUCGGACCCAAGGAGUUCAUUGCUUUGUUUUAUGGACUUCAGAGCUGGAGGGGUAUUUUUGAGAGAUUUGAUUCAGACAGAAGUGGAAAGAUUGAUUCCAAUGAGUUGCGAGAAGCACUUUUGAGUUUGGGCUUUGCAGUCUCACCCGUGGUCUUGGACUUGCUGGUGUCUAAGUUUGACAAAAGUGGUGGGAAAAGCAAGGCCAUUGAAUAUGACAAUUUUAUAGAGUGUUGUCUUACGGUCAAGGGACUGACUGAAAAAUUCAAGGAAAAGGACACCACAUACUCUGGUUCUGCAACCUUCAGUUAUGAGGCUUUCAUGUUGACUGUCUUACCAUUUCUCAUUGCCUGAGGAGUUUUUCAACCUUCGUUUGAGCACGUGGGUUCAGUGUAAAGCUUGAGUUUCCUUUGGCUUUUCCUUUUCAUUUCCGUCAUGUUUGAUAGAAUCUAUUAAUGUAGCCUCAUCCUUAUGAAUGCUCUAAGUUCGUUUUUCUUUUGUAUAAAUUGGAUAUCUCAAGUAUUCAAUGAUAGUUAUAUGAAUGUCUCAAGUGUUA
rnacentral:misc_RNA from 1 species